rnacentral:rRNA from 1 species
UACGGAAGGUCCGGGCGUUAUCCGGAUUUAUUGGGUUUAAAGGGAGCGUAGGCCGUUUGUUAAGCGUGUUGUGAAAUGUCGGGGCUCAACCUGGGCAUUGCAGCGCGAACUGGCAGACUUGAGUGCGCGGGAAGUAGGCGGAAUUCGUCGUGUAGCGGUGAAAUGCUUAGAUAUGACGAAGAACUCCGAUUGCGAAGGCAGCCUACUGUAGCGUAACUGACGCUGAAGCUCGAAAGCGUGGGUAUCGAACAGG